UCUGCCCUUCUUUCUUUCCUCAGAAAAUUCUUUCACAUCCAGAGUGUACGCCAAGCUGCUCCACAGCGACCCCUAUGGCAGAAUCUCCAUCAUGCAGUUCUUUAACUAUGUCAUGAGGAAAGUGUGGCUGCAUCAGACCCGGAUCGGCCUGAGUCUGUACGACGUGGCGGGACAGGGCUACCUCAGAGAGUCGGACCUCUUCACCAGCUGAUCCCCACCCUGCCUCAGCUGGACGGACUGGAG